rnacentral:misc_RNA from 1 species
GAUGAAGAACGCAGCGAAAUGCGAUAAGUAGUGUGAAUUGCAGAAUUCAGUGAAUCAUCGAAUCUUUGAACGCACAUUGCGCCCCUUGGUAUUCCAUGGGGCAUGCCUGUUCGAGCGUCAUUUGUACCUUCAAGCUUUGCUUGGUGUUGGGUGUUUGUCCCGAGGGACUCGCCUUAAAGUAAUUGGCAGCCAGUGUCUGGUUUUGAAGCGCAGCACAAGUCGCGAUUCAAGGCUACACGCCCGCUUCCACAAGCCUUUUUUCACUUUUGACCUCGGAUCAGGUAGGGAUACCCGCUGAACUUAAGCAUAUCAAUAAGCGGAGGA